GAAGGGGGCUAGCGUUGCUCGGAAUCACUGGGCGUAAAGGGCGCGUAGGCGGCGUUUUAAGUCGGGGGUGAAAGCCUGUGGCUCAACCACAGAAUGGCCUUCGAUACUGGGACGCUUGAGUCUGGUAGAGGUUGGUGGAACUGCGAGUGUAGAGGUGAAAUUCGUAGAUAUUCGCAAGAACACCGGUGGCGAAGGCGGCCAACUGGACCGGCACUGACGCUGAGGCGCGAAAGCGUGGGGAGCAAACAGGAUUAGAUACCCUGGUAGUCCACGCUGUAAACGAUGAAUGCUAGCGGUUGGGAUGCAUGCAUCUCAGUAGCGCAGCUAACGCAUUAAGCAUUCCGCCUGGGGAGUACGGUCGCAAGAUUA
rnacentral:rRNA from 1 species